AACGAACGCUGGCGGCAUGCCUAACACAUGCAAGUCGAACGAGACCUUCGGGUCUAGUGGCGCACGGGUGCGUAACGCGUGGGAACCUGCCCUUAGGUUCGGAAUAACUCCCCGAAAGGGGUGCUAAUACCGGAUAAUGUCUUCGGACCAAAGAUUUAUCGCGUUUGGAUGGGCCCGCGUUGGAUUAGCUAGUUGGUAGGGUAAAAGCCUACCAAGGCGACGAUCCAUAGCUGGUCUGAGAGGAUGAUCAGCCACACUGGGACUGAGACACGGCCCAGACUCCUACGGGAGGCAGCAGUGGGUAAUAUUGGACAAUGGGCGAAAGCCUGAUCCAGCAAUGCCGCGUGAGUGAUGAAGGCCUUAGGGUUGUAAAGCUCUUUUACCCGGGAUGAUAAUGACAGUACCGGGAGAAUAAGCUCCGGCUAACUCCGUG
rnacentral:rRNA from 1 species